UUUUAUUUCCGCUUGCGACGCAGGACACGGUCGUGCAGAGCGACAUGAAAACUGGCAAAUUAUAUUUACAAGAUCCCUUUACCGGGUAAGCCGUGGUUUGCAGAAGACUUGCCAAGUCUUACAGUAUUACAAUUACUGACAGAAACAAGGACAUUUUGAAACAAGCCGAGACUACAAGCAAAACAAGAUGGCCGGAACCGAAAGACCCAGCUCGCGGGACACCAGCAGUAUCACAACUAGUCUAUGCACAAAUUAACUACAACUUCAGACAAUUGAACAUUACCCAGAAGACCCUGGAGAAGAGGCCCAGGGGGGUUCUUACCAUGUUAACCUGA